GAAAUGCGAUAAGUAAUGUGAAUUGCAGAAUUCAGUGAAUCAUCGAAUCUUUGAACGCACAUUGCGCCCCCUGGUAUUCCGGGGGGCAUGCCUGUCCGAGCGUCAUU
rnacentral:rRNA from 1 species